rnacentral:rRNA from 1 species
UACGUAGGGGGCAAGCGUUGUCCGGAUUUAUUGGGCGUAAAGAGCGUGUAGGCGGUUUGGUAGGUCCGCUGUGAAAACUCGAGGCUCAACCUCGAGACGCCGGUGGAAACCAUCAGACUAGAGUCCGGAAGAGGAGAGUGGAAUUCCUGGUGUAGCGGUGAAAUGCGCAGAUAUCAGGAGGAACACCGGUGGCGAAGGCGGCAUCCUGGACCGGCAUUGACGCUGAGGAGCGAAAGCCAGGGGAGCAAACGGG